rnacentral:rRNA from 1 species
GACGAACGCUGGCGACGCGCUUAACACAUGCAAGUCGAACGGAAAGGCCUGCUUUCCCUUGUGGAUUGCGGGUACUCGAGUGGCGAACGGGUGAGUAACACGUGAGUGAUCUGCCCCCAACUUGGGUAUAAGCCUGGGAAACUGGGUCUAAUUCCCGAUAGGACUGCAGGGUGGUGCCUGUGGUGGAAAACGAUUUUCUAGUGGUUGGGGAUGAGCUCGCGGCCUAUCAGCUUGUUGGUGGGGUAAUGGCCUACCAAGGCGGCGACGGGUAGCCGGCCUGGGAGGGUGGACGGCCACAUUGGGGCUGAGAUACGGCCCAGACUCCUACGGGAGGCAGCAGUGGGGAAUAUUGCACAAUGGGCGGAAGCCUGAUGCAGCGACGCCGCGUGGGGGAUGACGGCCUUCGGGUUGUAAACUCCUUUCGACCGCGAGGAAGCCACCUGGUUGGAAGGGUGGUGACGGUAGUGGUAGAAGAAGCACCGGCUAACUACGUG